CUACGGGUUGCUGCAGUGAGGAAUAUUGCACAAUGGGGGGAACCCUGAUGCAGCAACGCCGCGUGGAGGAUGACGCAUUUCGGUGUGUAAACUCCUUUUAUAUGUCAAGAAAAUGACGGUAGCAUAUGAAUAAGCACCGGCUAACUCCGUGCCAGCAGCCGCGGUAAUACGGAGGGUGCAAGCGUUACUCGGAAUCACUGGGCGUAAAGGACGCGUAGGCGGGUUGGAAAGUCAGGUGUGAAAUCCUACAGCUUAACUGUAGAACUGUACUUGAAACUUCUAAUCUAGAGUAUGGGAGGGGGGGAUGGAAUUAGUGGUGUAGGGGUAAAAUCCGUAGAUAUCACUAGGAAUACCUAAAGCGAAGGCGAUCUCCUGGAACAUUACUGACGCUAAGGCGUGAAAGCGUGGGGAGCAAACAGGAUUAGAUACCCUAGUAGUC
rnacentral:rRNA from 1 species